rnacentral:ncRNA from 2 species
AUGAUGGCAAGGGGAGAGACUACAGUUUGUAGCGCCGAAGGAGCAAGCAGCGGGUAUGUGUGAAUCUCUCAGGCAAAAGAACUCUUGCUGGACG